rnacentral:lncRNA from 1 species
GGAUGAGCUUGUGGACAGGAGGGCUGAGCUGGCCAGGACAGUCACCAAGCUCUGCAACACCUGCAGGGUGAUGGUCACUGAGGCAGGCUACAGAGCUGCCACCGCCACCGCCCAGGCCAGGGAGCUACAGGCCGUGGUUGCCCGUUCUGGGACAGCUCAGGAAAACAUGGUGGAGCUGGGUCAGGCCCUGGGCUGGGAGGAGGGGGCCGAGGUGGCAGCUGGGCAUGAAGCCCAGGUGAGGAGAGAGGCCAGGGUGGCUGCCAGCGAGGCAACAAGGGCCACCAUGGUGAGACAGCGGCUGGUGGUGGCCCUGGGGCUGCUGGAGCGCUUGGUGGCCGCGUGUGACGAAGCCACCGCGUUCCCCCGGGAGCUGCAGCGCCUGCUCAGGGACACCGAAGGCAUCCUGAAGGAGACAAAGAAGCAGUCCCUUAAUGUCCUUGAGGACUUGGUGGCCAAGGUGGCUGUGGCCGAGCGGCUGUGGGAGGCCAACGCCCGCCUGGCCAAGGAUCACCUGGGGAAGACACUUCCAGACACAAUCAAAUUCUUUUUCAAUGGUGGUCUUGACAGCCCCUGCUCCUGUGGGGUGGCCAAGCAGUGCCAAAGAGCCAUCAAGGACAUCCCAAGGCUCAUUCGACCCCCUGAAUGUCCCCAAGUUGUCCCCAAGUUGUCCCCAUUGAGCAUGGAGCUCCAAGAGGUGCGACUGACUGGGAGGCCAGGGGGAGGGAUGGGUCACUGUGGAGGAAGGGGGCAAUGGGGCAUGGAGGGGACACAGGGGGUAGCAGGAGGAUACAGGGGGCUGCAAAGGGGAAAGGAGGGAGUGGCAGGAAAGAGGGAGAUGACAGAGGGUUGGAUUGGAAACAGGCGGGGAUGGGGGAGUGGGGGAUGGGGGGACAUGGGGGAGAGGGGACAUGAGGGCUAGUGGAGGGUGGCAGAGGGGACAGCAGUGGAAGUGAGGGAGUAGGAGAGGGGACAGCAGAGGGGCUGGGGGGUGGCAGAAGGGAAAGCAGAGGGGCAGGAGGGGC